ACUAACUGCCCACCUGGGCUGUCCUAAGCCAAGCUAGAGCCAACCAUUGAUUUUGUGAGACACAGGAAGUGAGGUAGGGAACAGCCUCUGGAAUUCGCUCACUUCCUGUGGAGAGAGCGAGAGGGAGUUGGUGUUAGGAGCUUGGACAGAGAGGACGCCCGCAGACAGCUUUCCUUCAGAUCGGUCACGCUACUAUAAGUCAAGAAUACCUGACUGGGAUAAAGUUCUGACUCUGGCAAAUACUAUGUGA
rnacentral:lncRNA from 1 species